CCUUCGUAGCUGUUCAACUGAAGCUUUAUUAACACUCUCUUAAACUGUGUCCGAAUUACUGCCCUAACCCCUAACUACUAAAACCCUAUAUAGUGCGGCACUAUAUAGUUCUCUAUAUAGUUCUCUGAAUUUUCAAAGCAAUUCGGACACCCGUGCUCACUAGUUUUCUCUUUCGGGUGUUUUCAAAUGGCGCUUCGCACGAAGACAAAGUGGCGCAUUACCGCCACCACCUGGUCUGGAGGGGAACUACUUCUAUUUAACGCGGAGAAUGACACCCAUUUGUCAAAUUAAAAAUAUAAUAAAUAUGAACAUUUUAUGUAGACUAUUGAUGAAUCUGUUGUGUUCUGAUCAUGGAAAACAUGGCUGAUUUAUAAAUAAUAAAAUUACAAACACAUUGGUGUAGAUUUUAUGUAUUUGUUGAUAAAUAAACCCUCAAUAUUUAUUUUUGUGCCGCUGAACGAUUUACGGGCUCUUGCGAGGAGGCAUUUUUUUCUGUAGUUUUCUCUUCUACCUUACUGAAAAUAGCUUUAUAUAUGAAUCUGUGUUCCUGGCAAUAAUUCAACCGUUUUUCAUGGGAUCAAACCAAAAACGAGCAGAUAUGCAGCAUCACAGGACGGCAAGGGGAAGCAGACGUCUCAGAAGAUUUCCUCUGGAUGCCCCUGACCAGACAUGAACAACUUGGUCUUCCACGUCUCUACUGCUUUGCCAACAUAAAGGUGUCUGUCGUGGCCCUUCACGCUGACGCUCAGUCCGACACAAAACCAGACCGGCAGACCUGCAGAUCGGUUGACCCGCAGGACCAUCGAGCAUCUGGUGGAGCAGCUUUGGGUUCCUCACACUCUGGGGGGGGGGCACAGGAGACUGAGGUCCUGGUGUUUCUGUUCUGGCUGGCGUGUGGCACAUCAUACAGUGUGGCAGCCAGGGCCUUUGACAUGCCACGGUCCACUGUAGGUGACGUUGUCCACAGGACGGCAGACCGCAUCCUCCAGCUGAUGAGCAGGGUCAUCCAGCAUCCAGUGGGAAUGAGCUGCCAUUAGUCAACUCUGGCUUUAUAGCAGCUUGCUUGGUCUUCCACCUUCCAAAAGGUCGUGGGGAGCAUUGAUGGCUGCCACAUAAGAAUAAAGGCCCUAAAAGAAAAUGCAGCUUGUUAUUUUAACAGGAAGCUUUUUUAUUCCAUUCAACUGCAGGCUGUACGUGACUAAUGCCAAAUUUAUAGAUAUUUUUGUUGGGACUCAAGGAUCAGUCCACAGUUCACAGGUUCUACGUAAAAGCCCAAUUUAUGUAAAUCAAACAUUACCCACCUGAAGGAUCCUUUUGGGUGAUGGUGGGUAUCCCUGCAUUGCUCAUCCCAUCACGCUGCUGACACCCUACAGGGAACCCAUGAGGAACACGGUUCAGGCCCGUUACAACCAGCACCACGCCAAGGCACGCUCUGUGGUGGAGAGAGGGCAUUUGGCAAAUGAGGAGGAGAGCAAUAUUUCUGGGGGCACUGGAAGUAAAACCAACCUUUGCAAUGAAAAUCAUUGCCUGCAGUUCAGUUCUGCACAAUCUGUGCAUCAGCGAAGGGGACUGCUGGGAGCCACAGAUGUUGAGCCACACCAGGAACCAGUAGGACGGGUAAAGUGGCGUCCGUCUACGAGGACAGAUCUCUGUUUUCCUUUUAGCUCCAACUGUGACACACAUGACUCUAGAAGACCAGGAUUAUUGUUAAGAUGUAUAAAAUAAAUGUUAACAUAUAAAACGAAAAUGUAAAUAUGUACAUUUGAUAUUUAUAUGAAAAUCCUUUUGAGAUUGUUAAAAAUGGCUCAGAUUUAAAGUGUGGGUGACAUGGCCUAUUUUAAUAAGCCAAAAUAUAGUAAAUAGUCUCUGUAUUUCAUGUUGCGAUUGUUUUUAAUAUUUUUCGAAAAAGAAUAAAUAGCGAAAAACGCAAUAUAAACAACGAGGACGGCCGCCGGCUUCACGCAUUCCGCCGAAUUCGCGCCGCCCUGUUUGUGACGUAAUGAAAGGAAGACAAGGCAGACAACAUGGCUAGCACCGAUAGCGAAGCACAGAGUGAUGCUACCGUCUCUAUUAGCAAUUUAUCAUCAGAUGAACAGAAAGAUGAAGAGGAAAGUUGCAGAGAUUAUCAUGAUGAUGAGUCACUUUUGCAACCGUAUCGAUUCGAACCCUUUUGCGAAAGUGAGGAGGAUAUAGCAGAAAGUAGUAGGUCUAGUGAUGCCGAUGACGAUAGCCAGCAUGAAGAUUCGGCUAGACUCCAGUAAGAUUAAAUUACUCCACUUACCCUAAAAUAUACUCAAAAUGUCCCCUUUUGGCCUAAUCUAAACAAAGGUAAACACUGGUUUUCAACCCAAUUUACAAAAUAAAUGUCACAAAAUAAAAGUUUCCCAGAUAUUACUACUCUUUAGUUAACAAAGUCACUGUAUACCAUUAAUAACUGUGGAACAUUAACAGUUUUACCUGUUUGAACCAGUUUGAAACCUUUUCUCGUGCGCGCGUGCUCACACACACACACAGUUCAGUUUACUCACGGCACCUCAAAAGCAAAAGAAAAAAAAACGUUGCAGGCCUGUUGCUUCUCUUGCAAAACAUUGAGUGCGUUGAAAUACUCCAGUUGGAUCCAAGGACAAAAGAAAACACGACUACUUCGCCUCAAUGUGAUCCAUCGUGAUGCACACUAGCUAGCUUAGCAGCCUCCGCUCCCGACUCCAGCGCCGUCCUCUCCGACCCAGAAAACGGAUCGCUCGCUUCCAGCUCACACGCCUUUCCUCGACUCAGAAGCCAAGAUCCUCCUCCCAACUCUCCGUUCAAAAUUCUUCGUUUGUGUCCCGGUUUUUGUUCCUUCGAAAACGCAGACUUCUCUCCUGCAGAUCUGGAGGGAAAAAUCCUUCGCCGUCCACCUUCUUGAUAAUUUUCCCCUUUUCAGCAGCGUUUCUUGUUUUGGGAAUUUUAUACACAGAUACACUUUCACUAGAUGUAUUGCUACAUCCAGCUGCCACACAACGACUUGGCAUGUUGAUGAUUAACAGAUUUAAACACGAGAGAAACGAAGACUACCUGUUUUGUUUACAUGCUGUCCUAAGCGCAACUGCGAAAGGCAACUCCCUUUCGUUACGUCACAGGUCAUAUCGGGUUCACUUCCAGCCUGCGCUCUAGCGGCAGAUCCAAAUCUCUGAUUCCUUCGAAAGAUGUCUAUUAUUCAUAUGCUUCGGAUUUUUUUCGACGCAAACUAUUGGUAUCAAUAGAAUCAGCGUUUAAAGGGCUUUUUUAUUUGACAAAGUUGUUCAAAGCAUGGCAUCCACACUUUAAAUAAUACAUGUAAAUAAUUCAUUUUUGUUCAUGCAUUUAUUAAACAAAUUGCAAAAACAACGACGACGUUACAUUUUGUGAACAAUAUUUUAAACUCAGGUAAGCUUAACAGACUCUCCUGUCACUCUGUCCCUUCCUGCUCUCUCCUCCUCUCCUCUUUCAAUAACAACCUUUACCCCAACAUGACACCGAUUACAGUUUAAAUGAUAAAUAAAUAGAAAUCUGAUCAAGUGUCUCUCACUCCCAUCCGGCACGAGCUUGCCUGAUAACAAACAGGUUAUCUUUCUCCAUCCACAUAUGGAUCAGAUUGUCCUUAUCCUCGUCUGUCCCUACAUAUAUAAACACAUUUUAAAAAUGUGUUAAUAACUUAUGACUACGGUUAGAACUCACUGCUUUUUGAUGUACUAUCAACAGCGUUUGUUUUUAGCAUUCGGCGCUAAUUCGCGCUAGCGUUAGGUUUAGCAUUACCGAAAUUGAUGAGCUUCAAAACAAUGUAGAUAGUCGAUUGAGGAAUAUAACAUAUUAAACAAGUCAUCUUACGUAUUUACAAAUAUAUUUUACAACAUAUACAAGAUACUUUUAAAUAUACUUACAUUUUUAAGUCCUCUUUCUAGCGCAACCGUCCGCCAUCUUUGAAUAAUUCAAACGCAGUGUAUUGUGGGACACACGCAAUGCAUUCUGGUAUGAACGCAGUGCAUUCUGGGCAAUAUUCGCCGAUCGAGUGAGCAUCGAUCCACACUGGUUUUUCGUAGAGAAUUCUGGGAAAUUUCUAGUGCACAUGAUUUUUGAACUGUAGAUUCGGACAGCACUACAAAAUGGCGACCGCACUAUAUAGUGCACUAUAUAGGGGUUAGGGCGGUAAUUCGGACACAGCCUUAGCUUAUUACAUGCAGCUCACUCUCAGUCCGUCCUUCUAUAUCGUCCCCCUGGAUGUCCACCACCAUCACAUUAGUUCCUACACAAAUGCCCUCAUUACAGGUUGGGUCAACUUAAUGUAUUUAGGUUCAAACUAAUACAUUUAAAUUGAUUCAAUUUAAAUACAGCAGUUGGACCCAACUCUAAAUUAAUAUUGUUGCUCACUCUAAAAAGAAAAAGUUGAUCCAACUUAAUUGAAUCACUUCAAUAGGUCACACCUAAGUAAAUUAAGUUUAUUCAACUUUUCAAAUUUGUAUCACUACCCAACUCAAUUUAUAUUGAUUUAACUUAUAUUUCUAUUUUUUUCUAUAAUUUUAUUUAUACAUCUGAAAUUGAUAUGUAGUUCCAAAGUUACAACCAAUGGGUCAUUAAAUUUUCACAUAAAAGACAUGAAUUGCCCAUUAAAGUCCUACAUCACAAAACAGGAGCUCAAAUACUGCAAACUCUAUGUUAGCUUUUAGAACAUUAACUAUUUGCCAAACAAGGGGGUUGGUAAUCAUCCUCUACCAAACUUUAACUCAUGGUGCAAAAAAAAAAAAAAAAAUAAACAUAACAGUUUAAAUCACUAGUUAAAACAGAGUAAAACAGCUAAACAAUAAAACCCAUGGACAAAAACUCACACUUAGACCCCAAUCUGCCCAGAUAGACAAAGAAAAUGGUUUGCGAUUAUUAAUGUAUCCAAUUUAAUGGUAUCAUGUUGGAUCAACAUGAUUGAAAUUAGUAACUUUUAAAUGAAUUAUUUUUAUGUACAAUCGACAUGUUUCAUUCACGUAAGAUUUACAAACAUAAAAUUUUCUGGUUGAAAUGACAAGUUACUUUUUCGUAAACUUAAUUUUCUGGUAAUUUCCUUUUUUUGA
ensembl:lncRNA